rnacentral:rRNA from 1 species
GGUAGCGCAGCUAACGCGUGAAGUUGACCGCCUGGGGAGUACGGUCGCAAGAUUAAAACUCAAAGGAAUUGACGGGGACCCGCACAAGCGGUGGAUGAUGUGGAUUAAUUCGAUGCAACGCGAAAAACCUUACCUACCCUUGACAUGUCUGGAAUGCCGAAGAGAUUUGGUAGUGCUCGCAAGAGAACCGGAACACAGGUGCUGCAUGGCUGUCGUCAGCUCGUGUCGUGAGAUGUUGGGUUAAGUCCCGCAACGAGCGCAACCCUUGUCAUUAGUUGCUACGAAAGGGCACUCUAAU